UACGGAGGGUGCGAGCGUUAAUCGGAAUUACUGGGCGUAAAGCGUGCGUAGGCGGUUCGUUAAGUCUGUUGUGAAAGCCCCGGGCUCAACCUGGGAAUGGCAAUGGAUACUGGCGAGCUAGAGUGUGUCAGAGGAUGGUGGAAUUCCCGGUGUAGCGGUGAAAUGCGUAGAGAUCGGGAGGAACAUCAGUGGCGAAGGCGGCCAUCUGGGACAACACUGACGCUGAGGCACGAAAGCGUGGGGAGCAAACAGG
rnacentral:rRNA from 1 species